rnacentral:lncRNA from 1 species
GGGGGGCGAGGGGACGACCGGGGUCGAGGAGGCGCCCUCAGCGCUUGGGCUCAGUUAAGAUGGCGCGGGGAAGUGCUGGGAGCCGUCUCCGUCGCCGCCUCGGGGGAACCGGCCCGGGCCUCGGCCGCCUCUAGUCCUCACACAGCCGAGGCCCUCUCGGUCCCCCGCCGCGGCCCCUCGGCGGGCGGGCCCACGCGCAGCCCUCCGCCACCAACACCACCCCUGGUAAGGAGGCGCUCACAAAGGGAAGGGAGGCCGCGGGCCGGCCGGCGGACGGCGGGGCGGGGUCCCCCGGGGCCGGGAGGCCUCAGAUGUUCGCGAGUGCCUAGUGCUUUCGGCCCGCGAAGGGCGCAGGGCGAGCGGGACCCCUCCUCUCUCCUCAGGCAGGCGGCGGCACCGACUCAGUCUCUUUGCCACCCUCCCUCUCUCUCCCCGAGCCCUGAAGCCACAGAGCCCGGCCGCUGCCCAGCUUCCCCCCCUUUACCCGACACCACUCCCCUCCUCCCGACCGUCAUCCCCCGUCUCCGAUCUCGCGAGAUUUCCCGCCUGACAGGCCGGACCCUGCGCGAGACACGACUACAUGCGCGCGCGCGCGCCCUCACAGGAGCGCGCAAGGCUUGCUACGGGCAGAGUUGUCCCGGUGGCCCGGAGUCCCAGCCUCUGUCCAGCAUGGCCUCACUGAGUUCGCGGAGCUUCUAAUGCCACGCGGGCGUCAGGUGCAUUCAUUUCACCCCGGAGAUCUGAAGAAGAAGAGUUUUUCUGCACUCCCCUUCCUUCCUGCUUCCCACCUCCAAAGCCCGCCACUGAUCCUGCGAUGGCAAGAGGAAAAACAGCAAGUCCAACUCCACAGGUUUGUAAGGAGCAGCCAGCUUUGAUUUGCCCUGCACGUCAUAGCUCAGAAAGUUUUGCUGCUCAUACAAUCCUCAGCAAAGACCAUCCAUUCAUUCCGGGAUUCCCCCAGCUCAUGGACACAGGCCCCCCAGAUGGAAGAAAGGAGUGAAAUUCUGAUGUAUGAUACAAUGUGGAUGAAC